AUUCUGACUUUAAUCUCAGAAUUCUGACUUUAAACUCAGAAUUCUGACUUUAAUCUCAGAACUACGGAGGCCUGUGAGCUACUUCCUUCAGUUAGCUUUAGCAGCACUGUGGAGUCAUACAUGCUGAGUGGAACUAACGAAAAUGUCCUCUUUAAGUUUCUCGUUGCGUGCUGAAGUUUACCAAAAGGCCAGUGUGUUAACAGAAGCUGACAUGCAGAAAAAUGGAACUCCACAUGCCAAGACUUAAUUUGGAGAAAAAGAAGAUGAUUGACCGUGAUGUCAUCGCUUUGGAGGAUGAUGCAGCUCUGGGACAGACACAACACACACAAUCACCAUUCACACACUUUACAUUAAUCAACUAUAAUGCUUUUUGGACUGAUGGAAGAAGCUGCCGGAAGGUCAUGUAUGCAGGAGAACAUGCUAACUCCACACAGGACCCUUUUGGGAUUUGAAGCCCUCUUGCUAUGAGGCACGCCUGCUAACCAGUACGUCAUUGUGCAGCUGAGAGAAGUUUAUUUUGAAAAUAAGACCAUUCUAAGUUGGAAGCAGUUAUUAGAAACAACAUUAAUUUGAGUUUAUUGUUUCAAUCAUGGUCAAUUGGAACAUACUUCCUUCAACACAGGAACAGCACA